AUUGAACGCUGGCGGCAGGCCUAACACAUGCAAGUCGAACGCGUGGCGGCCGGGUGAGUAAUGUCUGGGAAACUGCCUGAUGGAGGGGGAUAACUACUGGAAACGGUAGCUAAUCCCGCAUACCAUCGUCUGUGCCCAGAUGGGAUUAGCUAGUAGGUGGUGUAAAGGCUCACCUAGGCGAAGAUCCCUAGCUGGUCUGAGAGGAUGACCAGCCACACUGGAACUGAGACACGGUCCAGACUCCUACGGGAGGCAGCAGUGGGGAAUAUUGCACAAUGGGCGAAAGCCUGAUGGAGCCAUGCCGCGUGUAUGAAGAAGGCCUGCGGGUUGUAAAGUACUGUCAGCGGGGAGGCGUUACCCGAAGAGGAAGCAACGGCUAACUCCGUGCCAGCAGCCGCGGUAAUAC
rnacentral:rRNA from 1 species